rnacentral:pre_miRNA from 1 species
AACCUUCCUUAUUUGUGCAGAAACUUCGUUACACACCAGACCACAAGGGCUGAUGAAACUCCCAAGAUAAGUGAAGCG